AAAAUCAUACAGCAAACUCUGUGGGACUUGACUACACUCAGCGGUACAGCGGUUUCAAAAAAAUGACUAGAGACGUGAUGGACUCCCUCUUCACUCUUGAAGAAAUGUCAACAUGUUCAGUGACUGGAAAGAAAGGAAUUCUUGGAAAUAGAAAGAGAAGCUUUGACCAGGAUAAAGUAAACCUUGUCAUUGACCAAAUCAAGAAAGUGUUCAAGGAUGUUGAUGUCUCUGACAUCAAAGUUUGCAUGGCACAAAAAUUGAAGGACACCAGGAGACGCUCUGAGAGGCAGCCAGGGCAAAACGAUGUACUGUAAACCAAUAGUCAAGUCGUCCUGUGGCUGGCUGAUCAUGGUGCUGCAAUUUGUUUUUGAAAUUGUUUGCUUUUCUUUAUUCUUUGAUCUUCCACAGAAUGUUGCUCAUUUAGAUAAGCAACAUUCUGAUUGUGAAUAGCUUUAAAGAGGAAUAAAUACAUUUCUAAUUUUUUUUUUGGUCAAAUAUAUUUGUCUCACAUG